CCGCGCUGCCCAGCGCCCCGACAGCGCAAAACCGCCGCGCCCCGACCGCCCCACGCUCCCCGUCCGCCCCGCUCCCCGCACAGUGCCUCAAUGAAGCCAACCUGCAGCCGGGAGCAGCCAACGUGCACCUCCCCAGCACAGCCUCACUGUCAACACCCAGCGCUCCCCAACCACACUAGAAGAACACCAACCUCCACGCCACCUGUUCAUCAGGUGCUGGCAUGGAGUAAGCAAACCAACAAGAUGGUUCAACAGGAAUUACAGUGCUCUCUGGCUGAGAAGUACAGAAGAGGACAGGACUCCCUUCAACACAUAUCAAGAUCAUUUCUUAGUCAGCUGUUGGAUGCAAUUUGAUUUGAGAGAAACAAAGUACUGGCUCUUCUUCAGGAACUGAAUGCCUCGUCAUACUACAGACUCAAUCCUGGCACCAAUCAUUCCUGCAGUUAAAGCACACACCUGCAUCCUGGACACACUUUCUGACAUAAAUCUCAUUAAAAUUGUGGUAGCUGUUUUGCAGAGACUCAGGACAUACCUGGAAAGAACACAAGGCAGUCAGCCAAAGGCACAACCUCAGUCAUGUUAAC
rnacentral:lncRNA from 1 species